rnacentral:rRNA from 1 species
CACGCUGUAAACGAUGAAUACUAGGUGUGGGGGGACUGACCCCCUCCGUGCCGCAGUUAACACAAUAAGUAUUCCACCUGGGGAGUACGACCGCAAGGUUGAAACUCAAAGGAAUUGACGGGGGCCCGCACAAGCAGUGGAUUAUGUGGUUUAAUUCGAAGCAACGCGAAGAACCUUACCAGGUCUUGACAUCCCGAUGACCGCUCUAGAGAUAGAGUUUUCCCUUCGGGGACAUUGGUGACAGGUGG